rnacentral:rRNA from 1 species
GAUGAACGCUGGCGGCGUGCCUAAUACAUGCAAGUCGAGCGGACGGACGAGAAGCUUGCUUCUCUGAUGUUAGCGGCGGACGGGUGAGUAACACGUGGAUAACCUACCUAUAAGACUGGGAUAACUUGGGGAAACCGGAGCUAAUACCGGAGGAGAUUUUGAACCGCAUGGUUGAAAGGUGAAAGACGGUCUUGCGGGCUCGUAUAGAUGGAUCCCCGCUGGAUUAGCUAGUUGGUAAGUUAACGGCUUACCAAGGCAACGAGGCAUAGCCGACCGGAGGGGGUGAUAGGCCACACUGGAACUGAGACACGGUCCAGACUCCUGAGGGAGGCCGCAGUAGGGAAUCUUCCGCAAUGGGCGAAAGCCUGACGGAGCAACGCCGAGUGAGUGAUGAAGGUCUUCGGAUCGUAAAACUCUGUUAUUAGGGAAGAACAUAUGUGUAAGGAACUGUGCACAUCUUGACGGUACCUAAUCAGAAAGCCACGGCUAACUACGUG